GAUGAACGCUAGCGGCAGGCUUAACACAUGCAAGUCGAGGGGCAGCAUGAUGUAGCAAUACAUUGAUGGCGACCGGCGCAAGGGUGCGUAACGCGUGAGUAACAUGCCCGUAUCAGGGGGAUAACCCGAAGAAAUUCGGACUAAUACCCCAUAGUAAUUUGUGGAGGCAUCUCUAUAAAUUUAAAGCUCCGGCGGAUACGGAUUGACUCGCGUGACAUUAGCUAGAUGGUAAGGUAACGGCUUACCAUGGCAACGAUGUCUAGGGGAACUGAGAGGUUGGUCCCCCACACUGGAACUGAGACACGGUCCAG
rnacentral:rRNA from 1 species